rnacentral:misc_RNA from 1 species
GAUGAAGAACGCAGCGAAAUGCGAUACUUGGUGUGAAUUGCAGAAUCCCGUGAACCAUCGAGUCUUUGAACGCAAGUUGCGCCCGAAGCCAUUAGGCCGAGGGCACGCCUGCCUGGGCGUCACACGUCGUUGCCCCUCCAUCUACUCCUUCGGGAUUGCGGGGGGCGGAUGAUGGCCUCCCGUGCGCCUCGCCGCGCGGUUGGCAUAAAUGCCAAGUCCUCGGCGACGCACGCCACGACAAUCGGUGGUUGCGAAACCUCGGUUGCCCGUCGUGUGCGGUCGUCGCGCAUCGAGGGCUCGAAAAAAUUGCCGGGUUCCGGCUCGGCUUUCAACGCGACCCCAGGUCAGGCGGGGUUACCCGCUGAAUUUAAGCAUAUCAAUAAGCGGAGGA